UGGGGAAUUUUGGACAAUGGGGGAAACCCUGAUCCAGCCAUCCCGCGUGUGCGAUGAAGGCCUUCGGGUUGUAAAGCACUUUUGGCAGGAAAGAAACGUCAUGGGUUAAUACCCCGUGAAACUGCCGGUACCUGCAUAAUAAGCACCGGCUAACUACGUGCCAGCAGCCGCGGUAAUACGUAGGGUGCAAGCGUUAAUCGGAAUUACUGGGCGUAAAGCGUGCGCAGGCGGUUCGGAAAGAAAGAUGUGAAAUCCCAGAGCUCAACUUUGGAACUGCAUUAAUAACUGCCGGGGGAGAGUGUGUCAGAGGGAGGGGGAAUUCAGCGUGUAGCAGUGAAAUGCGUAGAUAUGCGGAGGAACACCGAUGGCGAAGGCAGCCUCGUGGGAUAACACUGACGCUCAUGCACGAAAGCGUGGGGAGCAAACAGG
rnacentral:rRNA from 1 species